GCUUACGGCAUACCACCCUGAGAACGCCCGAUCUCGUCCGAUCUCGGAAGCUAAGCAGGGUCGGGCCUGGUUAGUACUUGAUGGAGACCGCCUGGGAUACCAGGUGCUGUAAGCU
rnacentral:rRNA from 1 species